AUUGAACGCUGGCGGCAUGCCUUACACAUGCAAGUCGAACGGCAGCACGGGAGCAAUCCUGGUGGCGAGUGGCGAACGGGUGAGUAAUAUAUCGGAACGUGCCCAGUCGUGGGGAUAACGUAGCGAAAGCUACGCUAAUACCGCAUACGAUCUAUGGAUGAAAGCGGGGGAUCGCAAGACCUCGCGCGAUUGGAGCGGCCGAUAUCAGAUUAGGUAGUUGGUGAGGUAAAGGCUCACCAAGCCGACGAUCUGUAGCUGGUCUGAGAGGACGACCAGCCACACUGGGACUGAGACACGGCCCAGACUCCUACGGAGGCAGCAGUGGGGAAUUUUGGACAAUGGGCGCAAGCCUGAUCCAGCAAUGCCGCGUGCAGGAUGAAGGCCUCGGUU
rnacentral:rRNA from 1 species